GGCGGCGCGUCUUAAACAUGCAAGUCGAACGAUCUGUAGCAAUACAGGGAGUGGCGGACGGGUGAGGAACACGUAGGAAUCUACCUUGAAGAGCGGGACAACUUUGGGAAACCGGGGCUAAUACCGCAUAGUACAGAGAUGUUAAAGGGCUAGCAAUAGUCGCUUCGAGAUGAGCCUGCGGUCUAUCAGCUUGUUGGUGAGGUAAUGGCUCACCAAGGCUACGACGGAUAGCCGGUCUGAGAGGAUGAUCGGCCACACUGGCACUGAGACACGGGCCAGACUCCUACGGGGGGCAGCAGUUAAGAAUCUCGCGCAAUGGGGGAAACCCUGACGCAGCGACGCCGCGUGAAGGAUGAAGGCUUUCGGGUUGUAAACUUCGGUAGACUGGGAAGAAGAAAUACGUUCGUUGAGGGCGUAUAGUGACGGUACCAGUCUGAAGCCCCGGCUAAUUACGUG
rnacentral:rRNA from 1 species